GAGUCUGCUGCCCACCUGCUAUUUCAGUGUAGAUUCACGAAUAGAGUUUGAAACGAGAUUACCAUUUGGCUGGGAAUCCACGACUGCUCACCAAUGAUUUGGCGAAAUGAAGUUUCGGUUCGAACUUGGUGGUAAAAGGCGGUGAGCAACGCGGAUCAUAACAGAAAGGCUCUUGCCUCUGUUAUGAUGCUUGUCUCAUGGGAGAUAUGGAAAGAACGAAAUGCCAUUAUUUUUCACAACGCCGCGACUCCGACCACAAUUAUCAUCACGAGAAUUAAAGAGGAGGCCCACCUGUGGACUUUGACUGGGGCCAAGCAUUUGAGUAGUCUUAUGUUGCGAGAGUAG
rnacentral:rRNA from 1 species